GGGAGUAUAGCUCAGUUGGUAGAGCAUUGUUUUUGCAAAGCAGAUGUCAGGGGUCCAAUUCCCCUUACUUCCA
rnacentral:tRNA from 1 species